UCUCGCCUACUUCUUCCAAGGAGAGUGAGUCUCACACUCCUACCACCGGACGCUAUUGUCCCGUACCUGAGGGAGGUCGGAUUCGGUGAUGCAUUGCCGCUUAGGGAUUUCGUGUUCGACAACUCCCCAAUCACGGCAUUUGUUGACCGUUGACGCCCAGAGACCCACACCUUCUACUUGCCCUGGGGUGAGUGCUCAAUCACCCUACAAGACGUCGCAUACCACCUCGAGCUGCACGCUAAUGGAGAGCCCGUGGGUGAUUGCUUUCGUGACUUUCACACAUAGUAUGGGACCGGAGCCCAGGAGUUGGUUGAGAAGCUAUUCAGUGCCAGGCCUCUUGUAGUCCAACAACAAGAAACGUAGAGGAAAGAGUCUUUCUCUCUGAAGCUGACAUGACUUCGGGAGCGUGUCCGACAGAUGUCAUCCAAGACUGAUGAUCCAGCCACCCUCCGAUAGUAUGCGAGGUGCUACAUACUGUUGAUGAUUGGGGGUUACCUGAUGACUGAUAAGUCCAAUAAUCAUGUUCAUCUUCGAUAGCUCCCACUACUGGACGACUUUCAGAGGUGCAUCUUGGGGAUCUGCUUGGACAUACCAUUCCCUAUGCUUGGGCCCACCGCUCCACCACAGACAUCGUCGAAUGUACUCCUUUGCUGGUAUUUUAGAUAUACCAGAGGUUUCCUAAGUGGUGUCUACCUAAGCAACAGAUUUACAUGUAUCCUAUGGCUGCGAGGUUAAUCGACAUGAUACAGCAAAGCAGGAAGCAGCACGACUAGAGGGUUCGACGAUGGCAUCGGGAGUUGGAUCAGUUACUCUGGGAUGAGUUCACGUGGACGCCGUACGAUGAUCCUGUACUGCAGGAUAUCUGCCCGCUAUGUCUGAAGGAGGAGGCAGAGUGGGGGACAUGGAUAUCUGUUGUCCCCCUCGUUUUCUUCAAUAUAGUGGAAUUCCACCAUCUCGAUCGUGUGAAGCGCCAGUUCAAUGGUGAGCAGCUAGUGUCUGGGGACCCGGUCAACGUCGACAAGUUCCUUGACUACAAUGGGCCGCGGCGAAGACGUCUGGUGACCUACAAGCUUCAUGAGUGGUACGACCGAUGGAGGGUUCGGUUUGGGGAGAGACACUGCAUAUCCAUUCAGCCAUGCUUCGACUAUCGGCCGACGCAGGAGUAUUGGAAUUGGUAUAGACUGGCUUGCCGUGUCAGACAUUUGUCGGAGUCCUCACCGUCGACAUUCAUGUCUUCCACUAGACUAGCAACAUGAAUCAGUGGUGGUGCGAGAGGUAGGUCAUCAUGGACGAAGUCUGACGACCCAGAUCCACCACCACUGACGUUGCCAACAUCCGCAGAAAGCUCCAUCACUUGCUCCGCCAUAAUUCUCCCAUGGAUAUCAAAUAUCAGGGCGCACAUGCUCGUCGCCAUUGAGCCAAAACAGACAAAAUCGAAAAAUUCAAUUUUCCAUCGGUGCUAGCAACCUAUACCCCACCCUUCCGAUCUCUUUUCUCCCGCUACUACCGACGCUACCCAAUAUCAGAUUCUUUAAUUCUGACAAUGAACUUACUGGCCGGGUACAUAACAGAAUGGGAUUAUCACCCUCAAAUGUCACCCCAUUAUCACUAUUUCUCAUACGACAAUACGGAUACACACUUACAACCAAGUAUCCACUACUACUAGACAUUUUGGCUUGUUUUCGGAAGGAAUAGGUAAAAAAGAAGUAGUAAAAUAUUUGUGAAGAAUACAAAAAGUUUUACAUCCUUUAUAGCUGCUAGAAAUUUGUCUUAAUGUAUUUCGUUUACAGUAUAAAUGUCAUAAUUACUCUCUUAUCUCGUUUACAGUAUAAACGAAAUUAAAUAACAUGUAUCUCGUUUACACUAUAAACAAUAUAUACGCUUCAUUUUUAUUUGGCCUUAUCUCAUUUACGAGA